GGGCCUGUAGCUCAAUUGGUUUGAGCCGUCGGCUCAUAGCCGAUUGGUUGCAUCAAGUCCUUGCCGGGCCCA
rnacentral:tRNA from 2 species